ACCAGUGUGGCGUAGUGGUUUCAGUGUUGGGAUUACAACUUGGAGACUGGGGUUCAAUUCCCUGUUUGGGUG